AACGAACGCUGGCGGCAUGCCUAACACAUGCAAGUCGAACGAGACCUUCGGGUCUAGUGGCGCACGGGUGCGUAACGCGUGGGAACCUGCCCUUAGGUUCGGAAUAACUCCCCGAAAGGGGUGCUAAUACCGGAUAAUGUCUUCGGACCAAAGAUUUAUCGCCUUUGGAUGGGCCCGCGUUGGAUUAGCUAGUUGGUAGGGUAAAAGCCUACCAAGGCGACGAUCCAUAGCUGGUCUGAGAGGAUGAUCAGCCACACUGGGACUGGGACACGGCCCAGACUCCUACGGGAGGCAGCAGUGGGGAAUAUUGGACAAUGGGCGAAAGCCUGAUCCAGCAAUGCCGCGAGAGUGAUGAAGGCCUUAGGGUUGUAAAGCUCUUUUACCCGGGAUGAUAAUGACAGUACCGGGAGAAUAAGCUCCGGCUAACUCCGU
rnacentral:rRNA from 1 species